UGGGGGAUAUUGCACAAUGGGCGAAAGCCUGAUGCAGCGACGCCGCGUGAGGGAUGAAGGUUUUCGGAUCGUAAACCUCUGUCAGAAGGGAAGAAACCGCACUGUGCUAAUCAGCAGUGCCUUGACGGUACCUUCAAAGGAAGCACCGGCUAACUCCGUGCCAGCAGCCGCGGUAAUACGGAGGGUGCAAGCGUUAAUCGGAAUUACUGGGCGUAAAGCGCACGUAGGCUGCUUUGUAAGUCAGGGGUGAAAUCCCACGGCUCAACCGUGGAACUGCCUUUGAUACUGCUUAGCUUGAAUCCGGGAGAGGGUGGCGGAAUUCCAGGUGUAGAAGUGAAAUCCGUAGAUAUCUGGAGGAACAUCAGUGGCGAAGGCGGCCACCUGGACCGGUAUUGACGCUGAGGUGCGAAAGCGUGGGGAGCAAACAGG
rnacentral:rRNA from 1 species